GUAUUUUAAAUAAUAAGUUAAAGCUUUAUUUGGUAUAUGAGUAAUUUUCUUUCUCCAAACCCACAGCUGUCUUCACAGGGUCAGCCAGGGGCACAGUCACAUGUCCCAAAAAGAAAAAGUCAGGUGGACUAAGACAUAUGCCUGAGAGGAAAAAGCCACAAAAGAAUUGCUCCUAUCACACUCGCUUAGAGACUUUCCCCAUCAGGAGUGUUGUAAGAGAACGAGUGAGAAAGG